rnacentral:lncRNA from 1 species
UGCCACUAUUUGGACAACCCACCUAAACCAGCGAAUGGUUGCUUAUGACAGGAUGUGGCAUCUAUAAAUCAGAGCGUUAUGGCAGGCUGUUGGGUUUAGCUUUGCGUCAAAGGAGAAAAUGUGAGAUUACUGAUUUGUAUAUAAGAAAAGAUAGGAUAUUUUGAAUAUUCCAAGCAAAUAACAGUAACGAUCUAGCCGUUAUGUUGCCAAUUGUUGAUCCAUUAUACUCUUUUACACUGUUCACAAAUUACCAUGGUGUUGUAGGUGGAGGCAGAUGCUUACGUGGAAAAUGAAGCCAUAGUGACUAAAAUGAACCUGUUUUUUGAAGAAGCUUUCCAUUCCUCAUGUGAAGGAAUGAUGGUGAAGCGAGAUUAUGUAGAAGGUUUAAAUGAUUCCUUGGACUUGGUUCCUAUUGGUGCUUGGUCCUAUUGCGAAUGGGGAACAGCUGUUGGGUUUACCUUUACGUCAAAGACUAAAAU